rnacentral:rRNA from 1 species
AACGAACGCUGGCGGCAUGCCUAACACAUGCAAGUCGAACGAAGUCUUCGGACUUAGUGGCGCACGGGUGCGUAACGCGUGGGAAUCUGCCCUUGGGUACGGAAUAACUCAGAGAAAUUUGUGCUAAUACCGUAUAAUGUCUUCGGACCAAAGAUUUAUCGCCCAAGGAUGAGCCCGCGUAAGAUUAGCUAGUUGGUGGGGUAAAAGCCUACCAAGGCGACGAUCUUUAGCUGGUCUGAGAGGAUGAUCAGCCACACUGGGACUGAGACACGGCCCAGACUCCUACGGGAGGCAGCAGUGGGGAAUAUUGGACAAUGGGCGAAAGCCUGAUCCAGCAAUGCCGCGUGAGUGAUGAAGGCCCUAGGGUUGUAAAGCUCUUUUACCAGGGAUGAUAAUGACAGUACCUGGAGAAUAAGCUCCGGCUAACUCCGUGC